rnacentral:rRNA from 1 species
UACGUAGGGUGCGAGCGUUGUCCGGAAUUAUUGGGCGUAAAGAGCUCGUAGGCGGUCUGUCGCGUCUGCUGUGAAAACCCGAGGCUCAACCUCGGGCCUGCAGUGGGUAUGGGCAGACUAGAGUGCGGUAGGGGAGAAUGGAACUCCUGGUGUAGCGGUGGAAUGCGCAGAUAUCAGGAAGAACACCGAUGGCGAAGGCAGUUCUCUGGGCCGUAACUGACGCUGAGGAGCGAAAGCGUGGGGAGCGAACAGG